AUGACCGUCGGCGGCGAGGCCACGGGGCACGGGCAGACGGUGUGCGUGACCGGCGCCGGCGGCUACAUCGGGUCGUGGAUCGUCAAGCUCCUGCUCGAGAAGGGGUACGCCGUACGAGGCACCGUCAGGAACCCAGAUGACGCGAAGAACGCGCACCUGAGGGGCCUCGCCGGCGCGGCGGAGCGGCUGGUGCUGUGCAAGGCGGACCUGCUCGACGGCGACGCGCUGCGCGCCGCCAUCGCCGGCUGCCACGGCGUCUUCCACACCGCCUCGCCGGUUACCGACGAUCCCGAGGAGAUGGUGGAGCCGGCGGUGAGAGGCACGCGCUACGUCAUCGACGCCGCGGCGGAGUCCAGCACGGUCCGCCGCGUCGUGCUGACGUCGUCCAUCGGCGCCGUCGCCAUGGACCCCAGCCGCGCCCCGGACGCCGUCGUCGACGAGUCGUGCUGGAGCGACCUCGAGUUCUGCAAGAAAACCAAGAACUGGUACUGCUACGGGAAGACGGUGGCGGAGCGGGAGGCGUGGGAGGCGGCGGCGGCGCGCGGGGUGGACCUGGUGGUGGUGAACCCGGUGCUGGUGCAGGGCCCGGCGCUGCAGCCGGCGGUGAACGCCAGCCUCACGCACGUGCUCAAGUACCUGGACGGCUCCGCCAAGACGUACGCGAACGCCGUGCAGGCGUACGUGCACGUCCGCGACACCGCCGCCGCGCACGUCCUCGUCUUCGAGUCCCCCGCCGCCGCCGGGCGCUACCUCUGCGUGGCCGACGGCGCCGUGCUCCACCGGGAGGACGUCGUCACCAUCCUCCGCAAGUUCUUCCCCGAGUACCCCAUCCCCAGCAGGUGCUCGGACGAGGUGAACCCGAGGAAGCAGCCGUACAAGAUGUCGAACCAGCGGCUCCGUGAGCUGGGCCUGGAGUUCACGCCGGUGGCGCAGUGCCUCUACGACACCGUCGUCAGCUUCCAGGAGAAGGGCGUCCUCCCGGCCCCUCCUGCCCCGGCACAGCCGGCGACGAAAGAGAUCAACUGA
rnacentral:rRNA from 1 species